AGUCGUAACAAGGUCUCCGUUGGUGAACCAGCGGAGGGAUCAUUACUGAGUUUACGCUCUACAACCCUUUGUGAACAUACCUAUAACUGUUGCUUCGGCGGGUAGGGUCUCCGUGACCCUCCCGGCCUCCCGCCCCCGGGCGGGUCGGCGCCCGCCGGAGGAUAACCAAACUCUGAUUUAACGACGUUUCUUCUGAGUGGUACAAGCAAAUAAUCAAAACUUUUAACAACGGAUCUCUUGGUUCUGGCAUCGAUGAAGAACGCAGCGAAAUGCGAUAAGUAAUGUGAAUUGCAGAAUUCAGUGAAUCAUCGAAUCUUUGAACGCACAUUGCGCCCGCCAGCAUUCUGGCGGGCAUGCCUGUUCGAGCGUCAUUUCAACCCUCAAGCUCUGCUUGGUGUUGGGGCCCUACAGCUGAUGUAGGCCCUCAAAGGUAGUGGCGGACCCUCCCGGAGCCUCCUUUGCGUAGUAACUUUACGUCUCGCACUGGGAUCCGGAGGGACUCUUGCCGUAAAACCCCCAAUUUUCCAAAGGUGA
rnacentral:rRNA from 1 species